GUAACACGUGGGUGGGCUGCCUUGCACUUCGGGAUAAGCUUGGGAAACUGGGUCUAAUACCGGAUAGGACAGCUGUUUAGUGUCAGUUGUCGGAAAGUCUUUCCGGUGCAAGAUGAGCUCGCGGCCUAUCAGCUUGUGGUGGGGUAAUGGCCUACCAAGGCGUCGACGGGUACCGGCCUGAGAGGGUGUACGGCCACAUUGGGACUGAGAUACGGCCCAGACUCCUACGGGAGGCAGCAGUGGGGAAUAUUGCACAAUGGGCGGAAGCCUGAUGCAGCGACGCCGCGUGGGGGAUGAAGGCCUUCGGGUUGUAAACUCCUUUCGACAGGGACGAAGCGUAAGUGACGGUACCUGUAUAAGAAGCACCGGCUAACUACGUGCCAGCAGCCGCGGUAAUACGUAGGGUGCGAGCGUUGUCCGGAAUUACUGGGCGUAAAGAGCUCGUAGGUGGUUUGUCGCGUCGUCUGUGAAAUUCCGGGGCUUAACUCCGGGCGUGCAGGCGAUACGGGCUGACUUGAGUGCUGUAGGGGAGACUGGAAUUCCUGGUGUAGCGGUGAAAUGCGCAGAUAUCAGGAGGAACACCGAUGGCGAAGGCAGGUCUCUGGGCAGUAACUGACGCUGAGGAGCGAAAGCAUGGGUAGCGAACAGGAUUAGAUACCCUGGUAGUCCAUGCCGUAAACGGUGGGCGCUAGGUGUAGGGGGCUUCCACGUCUUCUGUGCCGUAGCUACGCAUUAAGCGC
rnacentral:rRNA from 1 species